rnacentral:misc_RNA from 1 species
GAUGAAGAACGCAGCGAAAUGCGAUACGUAGUGUGAAUUGCAGAAUCCAGUGAAUCAUCGAAUCUUUGAACGCACAUUGCGCCCGCCAGUAUUCUGGCGGGCAUGCCUGUUCGAGCGUCAUUUCAACCAUCAAGCCCCCGGCUUGUGUUGGGGACCUGCGGCUGCCGCAGGCCCUGAAAACCAGUGGCGGGCUCGCUAGUCACUCCGAGCGUAGUAAUACAUCUCGCUCAGGGCGUGCUGCGGGUUCCGGCCGUUAAAAAGCCUUAUUUACCCAAGGUUGACCUCGGAUCAGGUAGGAAGACCCGCUGAACUUAAGCAUAUCAAUAAGCGGAGGA